UGGGGAAUAUUGCACAAUGGGCGCAAGCCUGAUGCAGCCAUGCCGCGUGUGUGAAGAAGGCCUUCGGGUUGUAAAGCACUUUCAGCGAGGAGGAAGGGUAGUGUGUUAAUAGCACAUUGCAUUGACGUUACUCGCAGAAGAAGCACCGGCUAACUCCGUGCCAGCAGCCGCGGUAAUACGGAGGGUGCAAGCGUUAAACGGAAUUACUGGGCGUAAAGCGCACGCAGGCGGUUUGUUAAGUCAGAUGUGAAAUCCCCGCGCUUAACGUGGGAACUGCAUUUGAAACUGGCAAGCUAGAGUCUUGUAGAGGGGGGUAGAAUUCCAGGUGUAGCGGUGAAAUGCGUAGAGAUCUGGAGGAAUACCGGUGGCGAAGGCGGCCCCCUGGACAAAGACUGACGCUCAGGUGCGAAAGCGUGGGGAGCAAACA
rnacentral:rRNA from 1 species